CUUUUUGGAUGCACUUGAACAUCUUGGAGGAUGGCAAGCAGCCACUCCUAAGAAAAUAAAAGAAUACAUGAAAGUUGAAGGGCUCACGUCUGAUGAAGUAAAAAGCCAUCUGCAAAAAUACAGACUUCACGUCAGAAAUUCUUCAGUUACCAAAGUAAAUGAAAUAUGGAUGGCUCAUGGAGAGCUAACAAACCUGAGCAUGUUCAGGGCUUGUUCUCCACAGUGCCUUGCCCUUGGAAGAAGGCCUGAAGCUCAUCAUCAAGACUGAUGAUGGUUGGGAACUGAGACUGGGCCAUGAUCAUCCCCUAUGAAUUUUGCAGAGAUGAAAAUAUUUAUAUGAACGUGGAAGUCAUAUUAUUACCAUAAAUAAAUAUAUAAUAUAGCUGACUAGCAGAGGGCUUUAAUUUAAACACAGCACUUUCGAAAGGAGAUUUGCAGUUGCCGAUAUCAUGAAACAAAUUAGUUGUCUCCUUAAUUUGUUCCUCUGUUAUUUAAGAAUAACGGUGACUGUUAUGUUAUGUGUUAAUGUUUGUCUAUGGAUUUGUAAGGAUA